ensembl:lncRNA
CUUAUCUUUGCUGACACUAACCACAUACAGUCUCUUCUUGCUCUUUGGUUUCUUCUGUGGGAAGUUGUAUUUUGACAUCGGAGAUAAACCAGCCCAAACUCACCGGUCAUCGUGAGAUUCCUGGGAACAGCAUGGUGAGGAAAUCUUCCUUGGCUUCCUUGAAGCCAUUAAGUGCUUCAACCGCUCCAAAGGUAACCAGCUGCAGGAUAUUCUGAAUGACUGAAAACAUGAUCAAAAAACAACAGUGUGAGCCAGGGAAAACUCUGGCAGGAGAGCACCACCCACACAAAGAAAUACUUACUAAAUUCAUCUCGGAGACAGGAUAUCUGCUCAACUUAGGGGAGUUCUUUCUGCUCAGUGGGAAAAUCAACCGGAAGAUGUGCAGCAGUCAUAACAAGACAGAGGUAAACUCUUCUCUUUAAACUGGUGGAAGUACUGCAACAUCCAUUCUCUUGCACUCAUGAAACAAAAUCAGUGUCUGAAGUAAGUGGCUUGUUGGUGUGUGCUGCAGGCAUGAUAGCAAGUAAUCUUGUGCAGUAGUCAGAGUCUCACACAUCCUUUCCUGCUGGGUCCCCAACUCUUCCUGGAAGAAACUGAGGAUGGAGCCUUUCACAUCCAGGAUAUUACAUGAAAGUUGCACAGAAAACUGAUAUAUCUCCAAUGACUCACCUGCACCUUUGGAAAAGUCAGUGUUUUUGGGAAACCCAGGCUAUUUGUUUCCAUCUCCAUCAACUCCCUGUGAUACAAACUACUGCACUGUUUACUGGAAGAGCCUGAACAGAAAGUCUACAACUUCAUAUCCACUAGAGCUUGGUUCAGUUCUUUUGCAUUUACAGAAGGCUGGCAGUGAAAUAGCAAAUUGUAUAAUGAGCUUCAAAGGGUCAUGCUGAUAUGAAAUGCAGAGACAGCCCUGAAAUCUGCUGAGGAACCACCCAGAAAGAGCCUGUACAUGCUCAAAUUUCUCACAUCCACCACGUAGCAAUGCAUUCUGCUAACAAGACCAACUAAAUGAACAUUUCUUUUGCUUGUACUUCAAAUUCUUCAUCAAAUGCUGUUUCAGUUUGCUUCACUGCAAUACUGGAAAAUGCCAGGUGUAUCUGGCAGUGUAGGAUAUAUGUAGCUCCCAGAAGUGCCCUGUACAUUUGCAAGAAAUGAAAUUAUUAAUUAUCUCUGUAUUUAUGUACCUAUUUGAUUCACAAGCUUGAUAGGUUCACUCUAGUGGCUGAUUUACGUGAAUGUUCCUGGGACUGCAUUACUGCAUAAUUAAUCUUUAUAGCAAAGUGGCCUUGUUUCCACAUGGAUGCUGCUUAAAAAAUUGCAUUCAUUUGCACUAUGGAGGCAUAGGCAAUAGGUGGAAAUAUCAAAAUGAGCUGUUCACUCCCUGUUCUGAAAUGGAUGAAAUCUAAAGCUAGUCUUCAUCUAGAUUGGAAGAAGAUGAUCCAGAGAUAUAGCACAGGUGUGUAUAUGUUCCUUAAGUGUAAACUACAUGAUCUUGUUUAUCUAGAACAGUUAAGGUCAGAAAUUUAUGUAGCCCACAAGUAUAAACUAUUUUCUCCUCAGGAAAACCUCACUGAUAUAAAGCUGGGAGGAGUGACUGACACCAGAAGACUGUGCCUUCAGCAAGACUUGGACAGACUGGAAAGUUGUGCAGGGAGAAACCUCAUUGAUUAACCUUGAUUAACAAGAGCAAGUGUAGAGUCUUGCUCCUGUGGUGGGAUAACCAUGUGCAUCGGUACAGGUUAGGGGAUGACCUGUGGAGAGGAGUUCUGCAGAGAAGGACCUGGGUAUUCUGGUGGACAACAGGCUGGCCAUGAGCCAGCAGUGGGCCCUUGUAGCCAAGUAGGACAAUAGUAUUCUGGGGCACAUUCAAAAGAGUGUGGUCAGCAUGUCAAAGAAGGUGAUCCUCCCCCUCUACUAUGCUCUGGUGAGACCACAUUUAGACUACUAUGUCCAGUUCUGGGCUCCCCAGUUCAAAAAAAAAAAAAAACAGGGACCUCCUAGAAGGAGUCCAGCAGGGGGCCGUAAGGAUGAUAAAGGGCCUAGAGAUCUCCCUUAUGAGGAAAGAUUGAGACACCUGGAUCUGUUCAGCCUGGAGAAAGAAGUCUGAGGGGGUAUCUGAUUAAUGUUUAUAAAUAUCUGAAUAGAGGUGGGAAGCAAAUGGAGGAGGCCGGGCUCCUCUUAGUGGUGCACAGCAAUAGGACAAGGAGUAAUGGCCUAAAACUUGAACAUAGGAAGUUCUAUGUAAAUAUGCUUAAGAACUUCUGUACGGUAGGGGUGACUAACCACUAGAACAGGUUGCCCAGAGAGGUUGUGGAGUCUCCUUCUCAGGAAAUACUCAAGACCUGGCUGAACAUCUACCUGUACAACUUAUCAGAGCAGGGGGCUUGGACUCGAUGAUCUCUUGAGGUCCCUUCCAGCUCCUGAGAUUCUGUGAUUCUGAAACAGCAUGCAACAGAUCAGAUAUUUUUUCUUUUGAAACUGGACCUUAAAAAUACAUAUAUAUUUUUUGUUAUCCAAGGAAAUUAACCUGCUUUCUUCAGGUCAAAUAAAUUAUCUGUGGAUACUCAAAGAUAUUUUUGAUUAUUUUGCUUGGUUUCUAAUUGAGAUGGAGGAAGCAAUGAAUUGUUUUACCUAACAUGUAAUGCAGAUAGUCAUCAUACUAUCAAUGGGAAUGAAACAAUUUUUCCUUUUUUUGGUUUUGGUUUUGGUUUCAAAGAUAAAACGAAGAGCACUACUGAGUAGUACAAAAGAACCUUCUG